AGAAUUCCAGGUGUAGCGGUGAAAUGCGUAGAGAUCUGGAGGAAUACCGGUGGCGAAGGCGGCCCCCUGGACGAAGACUGACGCUCAGGUGCGAAAGCGUGGGGAGCAAACAGGAUUAGAUACCCUGGUAGUCCACGCCGUAAACGAUGUCGACUUGGAGGUUGUGCCCUUGAGGCGUGGCUUCCGGAGCUAACGCGUUAAGUCGACCGCCUGGGGAGUACGGCCGCAAGGUUAAAACUCAAAUGAAUUGACGGGGGCCCGCACAAGCGGUGGAGCAUGUGGUUUAAUUCGAUGCAACGCGAAGAACCUUACCUGGUCUUGACAUCCAC
rnacentral:rRNA from 1 species